AAAAAUGUUGAAAUGGUGAUCGCACUGGGCCCUAAAUCUUUUGAUGGACAAUGCAGCCUAGGAAGCUAUGUCUGAUCA